rnacentral:rRNA from 1 species
AGAGUUUGAUCCUGGCUCAGGAUGAACGCUGGCGGCGUGCCUAAUACAUGCAAGUCGAACGAGGUGCUUUGUAGCAAUACGAAGUAUCCUAGUGGCGAACGGGUGAGUAACGCGUUGGUGACCUACCCCAAAGUGUGGGAUAACAGUCCGAAAGGAUUGCUAAUACCGCAUGUGGUUAUUGGAUUUAGAAACCGGUAACUAAAGGAGCAAUUCGCUUUGGGAGGGACCUGCGUCCCAUCAGCUAGUUGGUGAGGUAAUGGCUCACCAAGGCGACGACGGGUAGGGGACCUGAGAGGGUGACCCCCCACAAUGGAACUGAAACACGGUCCAUACACCUACGGGUGGCAGCAGUAGGGAAUAUUGCUCAAUGGGCGAAAGCCUGAUGCAGCAACGCCGCGUGCACGAUGAAGGCCUUCGGGUCGUAAAGUGCUUUUCGGGGAGAUGAGAAAGGACAGUAUCCCCGGAAUAAGGAUCGGCUAACUACGUGCCAGCCGCCGCGGUAAUUC